GCAGCUUCCAACCCAGACAGGCUUAAGCCGCGCGAGGGUGCCCGGGUGGGUGGCUGCGCAGGGCCCUACCUGGGCGGGAGCGGCUGCAGAGCCCUGUCCACGCGGUGCCUCCCCAGCACGGCACCUCCCACUCCAGGCUGUUGGUUACCUGGCCGGGAGCUGGCGGAGACCAGGAUUUCUCCUCGCCGCCGUUGCUGUUGUUAGGGGAAACAGACCAUCUGCAUCUAGACCUGCCUCUCUCUCCGCUCCCCACUUCAGACGAGCUCUUCCUGCCUGGAAUCUGGAUCCGUAUGUGAAACUUUCAUUGUACGUAGCGGAUGAGAAUAGAGAACUUGCUUUGGUCCAGACAAAAACAAUUAAAAAGCACUGAACCCAAAAUGGAAUGAAGAAUUUUAUUUCAGGUAAACCCAUCUAAUCACAGACUCCUAUUUGAAGUAUUUGACGAAAAUAGACUGGUAAGUGGAUGCCUGUAUUU
rnacentral:lncRNA from 1 species